rnacentral:lncRNA from 1 species
AUAGCCUACCUGGAAGUGGGGAGAGGAGGGACACAGUCCCUCAGCUUGUUCUUUCUUUUCUCUCCCCCUUUUCAUAGUGUAGACUCCUGGACCAUGGGAUGGUGAUGCCCAGCUUCAAAUUUGUUAUCCCCUCUUUGAUUUAUCCUUGAUGGGAUUGCCCUCACAGACACACCCAGAAGUGUGGCAUCACCAACUUCUUAGGUGAUUCUAAACCUAGUCAAGAUGAUAAUGAAGAUCAACCAUCACAGCGCAUCACCCACCAGAGGUAUCGGAAAAGAAAGGAUGUGGGGGAAGUGGACUUGUUUAGAAAUGGUUCCUUGGAGCAACUUCCAUCUGUGUUGUCUGGAAACUGGCCGUUCAGUUCACAGGUCAGCAGCAGCAGCUUGAUCCACUGGCAAACACUUCACGGAUACAUACACCAGCAGUUCAGUUCAGUAGAGUCAAGAUAGCAAACACAAUCAGCACCAGUGGCACUGCCUAGCAGAGACAUCCAAGCCUCAGCCUGGAUACAAGUCAGCAAGAGGGACCAGCAGGAACACCAGGAGUUCUCAGCUGUGCCUCUCUCAGCAAAGCAAAGAUCAAAGAUCAGCGAAGACUCAAGACCCAAGACAAGCAUUGCACCACUAGCUCUACACACAAGCUUAGCUCAGCCUCCGUCACUGUCCCUUGAGUUCGAUUUAUAUUCCCUCCAAACAUCACGUGUCCUCCACAGGUCUUACCUCAACAUGUGUCUUCCCUUGGUGUGUGCAUCCAUCUCAGCUGACAUCACUCUGCCAAUCACCUGGAGUCUGAAGAAACAGCACGAAAUUACAGCGCACCACCAGAAGUUCUCUCUAUGGAGUCCCAGUAAAUGGAGCUCAACUGCACAAUGUAAAGUGGACCGAUGCAGGCUUGUCGUUAGUGAAGCAUCCUUAGCAGAACAUCCUUUCCCUUAUGUCUGCUUCAAUGAAACAUUCCUUCACAAGUCUGCCUUAGCCUUCCACCUGUGUCCACUUCAAAACACCAUCCAACACAACUGGCUUUCCAAAGAUCCCUUAAGUUUCCACUUCAAGCAAGAUGUGUGGCUGCAUCCAAGUGACCACACUACAAGAUGUCUUCAGACACACCAGAAGAGAGCAUCAGAUCCCAUUACAGAUGGUUGUGAGCCACCUUGUGGUUGCAGGAUCUCUGGAAGAACAGUCAGUCCUCUUAACUAAGCCAUCUCUCCAGCCCAACACAGAGCAGUUGUGAUCCAUAGUUAAGUUGCUAAGUAUGGAAAACUAGUGUCUUAAGAGCACAGCCUGGAACGUGACCACAGAGAUCUGAUGUUGCAUUGCCAGUACACUGGUCUAGAGAGACAACCAGACUGAAGACGCUUGGACCCCCACCUCUCACAUGAGCCGUUCUCAUCCCUGACUUGAUUGCUUCCACCUGAUGGGUUAUGUAAGCAAGAAAUAGCCUCUUCCUUAUUCAAACCACUGACUUCUGGAAUGGGGAAAAUGCAAAGAAGAAAAUCACUUUCAUGU